UAGGGAAUCUUCGGCAAUGGGGGGAACCCUGACCGAGCAACGCCGCGUGAGUGAAGAAGGUUUUCGGAUCGUAAAGCUCUGUUGUUAAGGAAGAACGAGUGUGAGAAUGGAAAGUUCAUACUGUGACGGUACUUAACCAGAAAGGGACGGCUAACUACGUGCCAGCAGCCGCGGUAAUACGUAGGUCCCGAGCGUUGUCCGGAUUUAUUGGGCGUAAAGCGAGCGCAGGCGGUUAGAUAAGUCUGAAGUUAAAGGCAGUGGCUCAACCAUUGUAGGCUUUGGAAACUGUUUAACUUGAGUGCAGAAGGGGAGAGUGGAAUUCCAUGUGUAGCGGUGAAAUGCGUAGAUAUAUGGAGGGGCACCAGUGGCGAAGGCGACUCUCUGGUCUGUAACUGACGCUGAGGCUCGAAAGCGUGGGUAGCAAACAGG
rnacentral:rRNA from 1 species